GACUACCCGAAGCCGACCUAAAGUCGGGACGCAUUCUACCUUCGGGGCUGCGCAAAUUGUCGAAGUCCUAUCGACUUACGUAAGUCGGCGACUUGCUUAAGUUAGUGACUAAGGUUCCGCAUCGCAGCAAUGGUCGGCAUUACGAACAAGAAGGAAAAGAAGAAAAUUUUAUUCAUUGAUGAAAGAAAAUUACAAAGUCGGGUCGAAGCCCGAUUACAUGUAUUUUCAAAAAGAAACAAAAAGGAAGGACGGUCGGCUGGGCCGAUCAUUCGUCCUAGUCGAUCUCUUCAACCAACGGAGG
rnacentral:lncRNA from 1 species